rnacentral:tRNA from 1 species
GGGCCUAUAGCUCAGCUGGUUAGAGCGCACGCCUGAUAAGCGUGAGGUCGCAGGUUCGAGUCCAUUUAGGCCCA